AUUGAAUGCUGGCGGCAUGCCUUACACAUGCAAGUCGAACGGCAGCACGGGGGCAACCCUGGUGGCGAGUGGCGAACGGGUGUGUAAUACAUCGGGACGUGUCCUUUCGUGGGGGAUAACCAGUCGAAAGACUGGCUAAUACCGCAUGAGAUCUCACGAUGAAAGCGAGGGACCGCAAGGCCUCGCGCGAUUGGAGGGGCCGAUGUCGGAUUAGCUAGUUGGCGGGGUAAAGGCCCACCAAGGCGACGAUCCGUAGCUGGUUUGAGAGAACGACCAGCCACACUGGGAAUUAGACACGGCCCAGACUCCUACGGGAGGCAGCCGUGGGGAAUUUUGGGCAAUGGGCGCAAGCCUGAUCCAGCCAUGCCGCGUGUGUGAAGAAGGCCUUCGGGUUGUAAAGCACUUUCGGCCGGAACGAAAUCGCCCGUGUUAACAGCGCGGGUGGAUGACGGUACCGGAAGAAGAAGCACCGGCUAACUACGUGCCAGCCGCCGCCGUAAAAC
rnacentral:rRNA from 1 species